UACGAAGGGGGCUAGCGUUGCUCGGAAUUACUGGGCGUAAAGGGCGCGUAGGCGGGUCGUUUAGUUAGAGGUGAAAGCCCAGGGCUCACCCUGGAAUUGCCUUUAAUACUGGCGGCCUUGAGUAUGGCAGAGGGUGUGUGGAACUCCGAGUGUAGAGGUGAAAUUCGUAGAUAUUCGCAAGAACACCAGUGGCGAAGGCGGCCUCACUGGCCCGAUACUGACGCUGAGGCACGAAAGCGUGGGGGAGCAAACAGG
rnacentral:rRNA from 1 species